UUGUCUCAAAGAUUAAGCCAUGCAAGUCUAAGUACGAGCUCUCGUACAGUGAAACUGCGAAUGGCUCAUUAAAUCAGUUAUGGUUCAUUUGAUCGUACAGUUUACUUGGAUAACUGUGGUAAUUCUAGAGCUAAUACAUGCGAGAAGCGCCGACCUCGCUGGAGGCGUGCAUUUAUCAGACCAAAAACCGGCCGCGUCUUCGGGCGCGUUCGCCUUGGUGACUCUGGAUAACUUUGCGGAUCGCACGGUCUAGCACCGGCGACGGAUCAUUCAAGUGUCUGCCCUAUCAACUUUCGUCGGUACGGUAUUUGCCUACCGAGGUUCUUACGGGUGACGGGGAAUCAGGGUUCGAUUCCGGAGAGGGAGCCUGAGAAACGGCUACCACAUCCAAGGAAGGCAGCAGGCGCGCAAAUUACCCAUUCCCGACGCGGGGAGGUAGUGACGAAAAAUAACAAUGCAGGACUCGUUCGAGGCCCUGUAAUUGGAAUGAGUACACUUUAAAAGCUUUAACGAGUAUCCAUUGGAGGGCAAGUCUGGUGCCAGCAGCCGCGGUAAUUCCAGCUCCAAAAGUAUAUAUUUAAGUUGUUGCGGUUAAAAAGCUCGUAGUUGGAUUUUGGGCGCAGGCGGCCGGUCCGUCGCAAGGCGUGUACUGGACGUCCUGGCCUUCCCUCCGGUUCUCCGCCGGUGCUCUUGACUGAGUGUCGGCGGCGGCCGGAACGUUUACUUUGAAAAAAUUAGAGUGUUCAAAGCAGGCUCUCGAGCCUGGAUAAUGGUGCAUGGAAUAAUGGAAUAGGA
rnacentral:ncRNA from 1 species